CUUCCUUGAGGUUAGAUAAAAUAUAAUUACUCUAAGUUCAUAAAAAUGAAUUCUGUUUGUUAUGACCUAAAAAUCUUGUUUAUCUCUGAAGAAGAGAAUGGCAGCACAUGAUGUCUUAUAUUUCUGAAACUGGGAGGGAGCUUUCAUUAGUAAUGUAAUUUUGAAAGAUUUUAAAAUGUUUUACAGUGUACCAAAUGCUGGGACCGAAUACUAAUUUAUUACAGAGCAUCACGUUACUAUGAUGCUGAAAUGAUGUGUUUGCAACUGAUGUGGUAUGGCGCUUCCAACCACUGCUCCAUAUAAAUGUACCUCGUGAAGUUGAUCAGACACAAAACUUCACAAAUGAAAGUGCCAUCCAAACUAUUGCAGCUUCAUAGUGAGCCUUGAAAUCAAGAAACCUAAAUCCUCCAGAUAAAUUUGGGAGGAUCUGACCUCCUAUGGUUUUUCCAGUGGUCAUGUAUGGAUGUGAGAGUUGGACUGUGAAG